GCUAUAGCUCAGUUGGUUAGAGUACCAGGUUGUGGCCCUGGGGGCCGUGGGUUCGAGUCCCACUAGC
rnacentral:tRNA from 1 species